AGGGAAGUUGGCUGUAAGGACUACAUGUGUUGGAAUGUCGCUUAGGUCAUGAUGGAUUUCUAUCUUUACUGUUUUCCAUCAAUGUCCUCUAUUAACUAAAGCUACAAAAUUUGGUAAUUUCUUGUAAAACUUUUCUAGUGUUCUCCAUGGGUUAAAAAUGGCAAGUUCUUCAAGCCAAGGUAAAAUAAGACAUGACCUUCAAGGCACCCAUCUGUAGCCUGGGAUGCAAUGGGGAAAUGGGGGGACGCUAGCAUCCCUCCUACAGGGGCCUUUAUUGGCAACGAUGGUUAUAGCGAUUUUGUUCGGGAAAUGCCUUGGGUCGCUUUGACACCAUGAACCUCUGACUUACCCUGGAACGCCACCUGGAGUCAGGAUUGGGGGGCAGGGGGAUUUUCUAGGUAAUGGACCUUCUCUUUUCUUCAGUUCCCAAGGACUCUCCCUUGGGGUGCCUUUUAACCCCCUGGAAACAGAUUGCAAAACUUAGGAAAGGACUGAGCUCCUGUAACACUGCAUGGCCUCAGCGGGAUCUAUUAGAGCUCCUCUGCAGGAAAUAGAGCAAAUAGAUCUAGGGUAACUUCAUUGCUCAUACCUAGCCUUCAUUGCUCUACACCAAGACCUCGACCUAAAAGGGCCUCUUGCAGAAUUUUGCCUGAACAUUCUGGCUAGUAAGCCCCCUCCACACGCUGACAUAUUGGAUGAUAGUUAUCUAAAUAAGCCUCCGAAUUAACCCAGGUUGCUGGAGGAAACACAGGCCCUCCCUAGCAAAGGGGACUCUGACUCUCUCACUGUUCUUCCUCCUAAUAGAUGUGGGGGCUUCUUCUUCACUCAUUUCCCGGGUUAAUGGCUAUAACUAGAGCCAACUGUGGUUAGUCUCCCUCAGGACAGGAACUUUGAGGGAUAUUCCCAAGCAGCUGCUGAAACUCCUUUUGUUUCGGGGAAAUUCCCGUCUUCUCCAGCCCAACAUGGACUGCCUAUUCCCACUUGUUGGCAGGAAAACAUGGCGUCUGUGCCUCUGUUGGAGCUGAUGAGCUCUGGAACCAGAAACCCUUUUUCUGCCUUCUGGCAGCACUUGGCCUCUUCUGUCUCCCCCUCCCCCUUUCUAUUUCCACACCACCUGGGUGUGGCCUGCAUAACUGGCUUCUAGACCAUCCUCUGUGCCUCAGGCAUCAUGGCUCCUUCCCUCGCUAUAAAGGAGCAAGAAGAGCACCCCCUGGACCUAACACCGCCCACUCCAGAUUUCCUCACCAGCAUCUCAGAAAUAGAAAAAGCCGAUCCUGAGGAUCCUGAACAGUCAAAACAGUAUUGGAAAAAAAAAAUUUGGAGGACUCAUACUCCCUGAUUUCAAAACAAACUAUGAUGCUAAAGUAAUCAAAACAGUAUGGUAUUGGAAUAAAGGCCGGCAUACAGACCAAUGGAAUUGAAGAGAGAGCCCAGAAAUAAGCAUAUAUGGUCAAGUGGUUUUUAGCAGAUGGUGCUGGGUAAACAGGAUAUUCACAUGCAAAAGAAUGAAGAUGGACCCUUACCUUACAUCAUAUACAAAAAUUAACUUAAAGUAAAUCAAAGACCUAGACAUGAGACCAGACUUUAUAAAAGUCUUAGAAGCAAACAUAGGGGAAAGUUCAUGACAUUGAAUUUGGCAAUGAGUUCUUGGAUAUGACCCUAAAAAGCACAGGCAACAAAAGAAAAAAUAGUUGACGAUUCAGCUAGGUGGUUUUCGCUUGGGUUCCUCAUGCUGUUGCUGUGAUUGGGGCUGGAGUUACCGCAAAGCCUUCUUCAGUCCCAUGUCUGGUGACUAAUGUUGGCUGCAGAGGAGACCUGGGGCUGUUGGCUGGGAGAUCUAAAUGCAGCGGCCUGGGCUUCCUCACAGCAUGGCGGCUGGGUUCAGAGAGCAAACAUCCCAAGAAGACCCUGAGGAAGGAGUAUCACCUUUUAUGAUCUAGCCUCAGAAGGUACAGAGGGUCACUUCUGCCACAGUCACAGACCCUCUUGGACUCAAAGGAACAUAGACCCCACCCUGACCAGAGCAGGGUCAACAUCACCAUGAAGAAGAACAUGUGGCAUGGGGGAUCUCGUUGCAGCCAUCUUAGAAAAUGCAGUCUGCCAUAAAGCGGGAAGAUAGCAGCUUCUUAUGGAGAGGUACAAGUGGCUGGAACUAAUGAAGGACCUGAGGCCUGCCAAUGGCAUUUGAGUGAGCUUGAAAGGAUUCUCCUGCCUUGAGAUGCUUGCAGCCCUGGCUGAGUUGAGUGCAGCUUUGUGAGAGACCCUGAGCCAGAGGACCCAGCAAAAUGGCACCCACAUCCCUGACACACAGAAAUUGUGAGAAA